rnacentral:misc_RNA from 1 species
GAUGAAGAAACGCAGCGAAAUGCGAUACUUGGUGUGAAUUGCAGAAUCCCGUGAACCAUCGAGUCUUUGAACGCAAGUUGCGCCCGAAGCCAUCAGGUUGAGGGCACGUCUGCCUGGGCGUCACAUAUCGUUGCCCAAUGCCUAUUGCAGUGCAAUAGGAAUUUCUAGGGCGAAUGAUGGCUUCCCGUGAGCGUUGUUGCCUCGCGGUUGGUUGAAAAUCGAGUCCUUGGUAGGGUGUGCCAUGGUAGAUGGUGGUCGAGUUAGAACGAUACCGAUCAUGUGCAUGCUCCCCAAAAUAUGGCCUCUAUGACCCACACGCGUCUUUUGACGCUCAUGACGAGACCUCAGGUCAGGCGGGGCUACCCGCUGAAUUUAAGCAUAUCAAUAAGCGGAGGA